rfam:Picea glauca, whole genome shotgun sequence.
AUCUCUUGUGAUGUUAAAAAUCAAACUUUCGUUCUUCCGAGAUAUAAGAGAUGCGGAAAUUGUUUGGAGACCUGAACUGAAGAGAU